AAUGAUUUCGUUGGUUGUCUGUGAAAGGUGAGUGUUAACUAACUAAAGCUUUAAUUAAAUAAUUAACCAAAAUUGAUUCAUGUAGAUGAGAUAGAAAUUAAAAGGCUGCUAUUCAUAUUGUGACAUUUCCUCUGUGUGCACGUGAGCAGUUUCCUUCAGACUUUUUUUUCACAGUUUUCGUUGGUGGUUCCUAAUCUAAACUACGCCCGAAAUUAUAACAUUUGCUUCUAAUGUUAAUCAUGAUUAUCUCAAAUCUACAAGAGUCUUUGCCACAUGCUUUAAACCAAAUUAUGACAAUGUUUCUUUUUUCAACACAAGCAAGACAUUAGAGAAGGAGGAUUCGAACACGGGACCUUAAAAAUUAGUAGCACGCGCUGGGCUGUGGGGGCUUUUUUUUUUUUUUUUUUUUUUUUUGGUCUUCGCCUAGAGUCCCCAGAAUCUUGCUCAGUUUUUAUCUGAUGCAGAUGAUGGACCAUGAGAUCAUGCAUGCAGCCAAGCUGCAACUGCAAGUAAUCACAAACAAAACAAUUAUGAAUUCCAAUCCGGCAGUCAAUAGCAUCAGCCCCAGAAAAAAAAAAAACAAAAACAAAAAAGAACAACCAGCAGUGCAGCAGCAGACUAAAAGUGGACCACGUGACUAGAACAAGUCUUCUUUCUAAGACUAGAAGUUG
rnacentral:lncRNA from 1 species